AUUGAACGCUGGCGGCAGGCCUAACACAUGCAAGUCGAGCGGAUGAGGGUAGCUUGCUACCUGAUUCAGCGGCGGACGGGUGAGUAAUGCCUAGGAAUCUGCCCGAUAGUGGGGGAUAACGUUCCGAAAGGAACGCUAAUACCGCAUACGUCCUACGGGAGAAAGCGGGGGAUCUUCGGACCUCGCGCUAUCGGACGAGCCUAGGUCGGAUUAGCUAGGUGGUGGGGUAAAGGCUCACCAAGGCGACGAUCCGUAGCUGGUCUGAGAGGAUGAUCAGCCACACUGGAACUGAGACACGGUCCAGACUCCUACGGGAGGCAGCAGUGGGGAAUAUUGGACAAUGGGCGAAAGCCUGAUCCAGCCAUGCCGCGUGUGUGAAGAAGGUCUUCGGAUUGUAAAGCACUUUAAGUUGGGAGGAAGGGUUGUAACCUAAUACGUUGCAACUUUGACGUUACCGACAGAAUAAGCACCGGCUAACUUCGUGCCAGCAGCCGCCGUAACAC
rnacentral:rRNA from 1 species